AUUGAACGCUGGCGGCAGGCCUAACACAUGCAAGUCGAGCGAGCGGCGGACGGGUGAGUAAUGCCUGGGAAUUGCCCAGUCGAGGGGGAUAACCGUUGGAAACGACUGCUAAUACCGCAUACGAUUGGAUUGCCACGGUUGGAUUAGCUAGUUGGUGAGGUAAUGGCUCACCAAGGCGACGAUCCCUAGCUGUUCUGAGAGGAUGAUCAGAAAGACUGGAACGGAGACACGGGCCAGACUGCUACGGGAGGCAGAAGUGGGGAAUAGUGGAAAAGGGGGGAAAACCUGAUGGAGCCAUGCCGCGUGUGUGAAGAAGGCGUGCGGGUUGUAAAGCAGUUUCAGCGAGGAGGCGUUACUCGCAGAAGAAGCACCGGCUAACUCCGUGCCAGCAGCCGCGGUAAUUC
rnacentral:rRNA from 1 species